CCUACGGGAUGCAGCAGUCGAGAAUCAUUCGCAAUGGACGAAAGUCUGACGGUGCGACGCCGCGUGGAGGAUGAAGGCCCUAGGGUCGUAAACUCCUGUCAUCAGGGAGUAAUGACUUACGCAGUAACUGGCGUGGGUAGUGAUAGUACCUGAAGAGGAAGGGACGGCAAACUUCGUGCCAGCAGCCGCGGUAAUACGAAGGUCCCAAGCGUUGUUCGGAUUUACUGGGCGUAAAGCGUCUGUAGGCGGUUUGGUAAGUCAGAUGUGAAAUCCCGGGGCUCAACCCCGGAACUGCAUCCGAUACUGCCAAACUAGAGGGUCGGAGGGGAGUCUGGAAUUCUCGGUGUAGCAGUGAAAUGCGUAGAUAUCGAGAGGAACACUCGUGGCGAAGGCGAGACUCUGGACGACACCUGACGCUGAGAGACGAAGGCCAGGGUAGCGAAAAGGAUUAGAUACCCCCGUAGUC
rnacentral:rRNA from 1 species